rnacentral:rRNA from 1 species
AUUGAACGCUGGCGGCCGGCCUAACACAUGCAAGUCGAGCGGAGCGGCGGACGGGUGAGUAAUGCCUAGGAAUCUGCCUGGUAGUGGGGGAUCACGUCAGGAAACGGGCGCUAAUACCGCAUACUCUCAGAUGAGCCUAGGUCGGAUUAGCUAGUUGGUGGGGUAAAGGCCUACCAAGGCGACGAUCCGUAACCGGUAUGAGAGGCGGAUCAGUCACACUGGCACUGAUACACGGUCCAGACUCCUACGGUAGGCAGCAGUGGGGAAUAUUGGACAAUGGGCGAAAGCCUAAUCCAGCCAUGCCGGGUGUGUGAAGAAGGUCUUCGGAUUGUAAAGCACUUUAAGUUGGGAGGCGUUACCAACAGAAUAAGCACCGGCUAACUUCGUGCCAGCCGCCGCGGUAAUUC